rnacentral:rRNA from 1 species
UAAGGGUGCAGGGCGGAUGCCUUGGCACUAGGAGCCGAUGAAGGACGUGAUAAGCUGCGAUAAGCUUCGGGGAGUUGCACGUAAACUUUGAUCCGAAGAUUUCCGAAUGAGGAAACUCACUUAGAGUAAUGUCUAAGUAUCAUUAAGUGAAUACAUAGCUUAAUGAGGGGAACUCAGGGAACUGAAACAUCUAAGUACCUGAAGGAAGAGAAAGAAAUUCGAUUCCGUAAGUAGCGGCGAGCGAACGCGGAUUAGCCCAAACCAAUAAAGUUUUCUUUAUUGGGGUUGCGGACAUAUCAUAACGAAGAGGUAUCGUAAUUGAAGAGGUUUGGAAAGACCCACCACAGAAGGUAAUAGUCCU